rnacentral:tRNA from 1 species
GCCCGGGUGGUGGAAUGGUAGACACGAAGGACUUAAAAUCCUUUGGCGAAAGCCGUGAGGGUUCGAGCCCCUCCCCGGGUA